rnacentral:lncRNA from 1 species
AUAAAAACAUACAUAUAAAAAUCUAGGGAUAAUUGCCUGUAUACCCCUGAUACGUUUGAAAAUAUCUGAUUUAUUUCUAUUUUUUUUUUUUAAAUACCCCUCAUAUGUUCCACCGUUAUUGCAAAAUACCCCCGCAGUUAUCUCUUAUAAAUUAACUUGGGUUAAACGUGAGUUAAAUAUCUACCACAGUUAAAAAAAUUUAAAUGUCAAUUUUGCCCUUAACUUAACAGCAAAUAGGAAAAGUUGGUGACGAUAGAGGGUUAUAUUGGAAAAGACCAAAAGUCAAAAUAGUCCCUGACUUUAAGGGCAAAUAAGAAAGACUGUGAUGGUGGAAGGGUAUAUUUGAAAUGACAAAAUAGUAAUUUUAAAGAGAUAACAGAAUUAAUUAUUAGAUUUUAACUCUAGGGGUAUAUUAAAAAUACGUUGGAACGUAGAAAGGGUAUUUUCAAUAUUAGCUUUCUAAAAGAGGUAAAUCGGAAAGUCGGAAACUUUUCAGAAGUAUAUAAGCAAUUGCCCUAAAAAUCUACAUACAUGUAUAUUAAUUUUUCCAUUUGGUGAGCUUUGUUACCGGAACACUCCAAAGUGAGAUGUACAUCAUGCAUCUUCAUCAUACAAGAGCUAUUAUUUUCUAGGGGCAAUUGCUUAUAUACUCCUAAAAUGUUUCAAAUAUAUUUUUAAAGUUAAAAUUUGUUAAUAAACUCUGCUAUCUCUAUAAAAUUACUAUUUUGUCCUUUCAAAUAUAUCCUUCUACCAGCAUAGACUUUUCCUAUUUGCCUUUAAGGGCAUAUUUGGUUGGCCGAAAAUGAAGCACAAAAAAUAGCAAUGUUAGAAAGUGACAUAUUAUCGGUUGUUUGGUUAAUGAAAGUAAAAAUAAAAGUCACUUUACAAAAGUUAGCUGAUAAAAUGAGUUAUAGCUAAAUAUUACUCUUUUGACUUUGGCUCAAAAAAUACAGAAGCCACCGAAAGUGAAAAUCUUAGCUAAGAUAUUAUAUUUGGUCCUAACUUUAAUUUUUGAAUUUAUUUUUAAAGUUAAAUUUUACUAUAAAUUUGAAUUAAAAUCAUGAUAACAUUUUGAAUUUUAUUUGUAAAUUCAAAUUCAAAAUAAAAUUUUUUAAAUUCAAAUUUGUGACUUUAUAUUUUAAUUUAAUUAUUAAAUUUUUAAUUAUAUUUUAACUUGAAUUUUAGAAUUUAGAUUUAAAUUUAAAUUUUAAAUUUAUAUUUAUAUUCAAAUUUUUAAAUUUAAAUUUAGAUUUAAAUUUUAUAAUUUAAAUUUUAAUUAAAUUACUUUUUGCUAACAACUUCAAUUUGAACUUUGAAUUCAAAUUGUUCCAACUAUAAAUUCAAAUUAUUGACUAAAAAUUUAAAUAAAAAUUUUAAAAUUUUAAGUUAAAAUUAAAANGGUGUACCGGUACACGGGAUUGCGUACCGGUACAGGAAGCAACCCGAGAGCAGAUUACGCGGCAUCAGUAUAGUGUACCGGUACGCCAUGAUGGCUGUACCGGUACAACAAGCAGGAAAAUCUGCUAUUUCGCAGAUUUCUUCGCUGAAGGCUGCUCUCGCGUCCGACGGAGUCCGUUUUACGUCUAUUUGACGCCAACGCGACUCGGGCUUGUCCCGACACUCUCCAGAGCUGUCGACAAGCCUCCACAGUCAAACACCAGGGAUCUCACAAUUCAAAUUAUAAUUCAAAUUCAAAUUCAAAUUUACAUAAAUGUUUAAAUUUCUAUUUUGAACUUUUAUUUCAGAAUUUAAUUUCAGUAAUGAGAUUUAAAUUCAAAUUAUAAAUUUAAUUUAUAUAUUAAAUUUUAAUUAUAAAUUUAACUCUGAUUUAAGUUUAAUUAAAAUUUUGAAAUAUACUUUUGAAUUCUAAAUUUAAAUAUAAAUAUAAAAUUUUAAUUUAAAUUGCUGUUAUAAGCCGUUUAUUUAUAUUUUCACCUUAUUAUAUAUAAUUUAACAAUCAAAAUAUCAAAAUUACAGUUUUAAUAUUUCACUUCAUAUCCAAUCAAACAAUCGAACUAAGAAGUCACUUUUGCAAAAGGUACUUUUGCACAAGUGACUUUUUCUCACUUCACUCACUACCGGACAACCAAACAUGCCUUAAGUUAGGAGCACAAAAAGUAUUUUACUUUUUGGUAUUUUCAAAUAUACCAUUUUACCAUCACUAAUAUUUUUUAUUUGCCCUUAAGUUAAGAGUAAAAGUGGCAUUUUAAUUUUUUUAAACUGUGGUAGAUAUUUAACUCACGUUUAAUCUAAGUUAACUUAACGGGUGAUAACUAUAGAGUUAUUUUGGAAUAACGGAGGAAUGUAUGAGGAGUAUAUUAGAAAGAAAAAAAAAAUAGGGAUAAAUUAAAUAUUUUUGAAGUUUUGAGGGGUAUAUAGGCAAUUGUCCCUAUUUUUUAACUCAUCACAUCAAUUUUUUUUUUUUUUACUAUAAUUCAGUGUAAGAUCUACACCCCUUGAGACGUAUAAGUAGAAUUUUUAUUAUCUAACUUUUUUUUUAUUAACUGUCCAAUUACAUUUUGGCACGGAGUGGGGCAUAGUUAUUAGCCCAAUCUGUUAUCUAUCUGCUGCCCUAAUUUGUAAUUGGGCCUUCAUUUGCCAAUAAUUUUGGCCCGACACGGGAAAAUUAAAAGGACCAUUCCUAGCACUAGUGGUACGUUUGAAGCCUGUCACUUCCCAUUUCCAGUUAAAAUUAUUUUUAUUUUAAAAAAAUAAACGAAGCAACAAUGUGCAACCUUUAUCUCAAGCAAAAAUAAAAAUAAAAAUAGAACACAACGUAGUGUAGUUCCAAUUUAUUAGAUUACAUCAAACUGCGGCUAGGGAAAUAAAUUAUGCGGUGAUACCUGUCCCUAGCGAUGUAAAACGGGCCGGACAGCACUUGGGCCACCCGGCUAGUAUAUAUAUAUAUAUAUAUAUAUAUAUAUAUAUAUAUAAUUGAGCUCCUAUACUUUUAAAAAUACCAAGUUAUCGUUGCUUAUAGAUUUUUAGCCAUUGGAUUAAGAGAUAUGCGGUUAAGAUGAUGUGGGCCCCCUAGGGUUGAAUAGUAUAAUCUAAUGGUUGAAAAUAAUCCGAGGAAUAGAUUUAACGGUAAAAAACUUACAAGCACCAAGUGCUUGGUGCUUUUACAAGCACCAUAACCGGACUC